UUGAACGCUGGCGGCAUGCUUUACACAUGCAAGUCGAACGGUAACAGGCCUUCGGGUGCUGACGAGUGGCGAACGGGUGAGUAAUGCAUCGGAACGUACCCAGGAGUGGGGGACAACCUCGAGAAAUCGAGGCUAAUACCGCAUACGUCCUGAGGGAGAAAGCGGGGGAUCUGCAAGGACCUCGCGCUCAUGGAGCGGCCGAUGUCGGAUUAGCUAGUUGGCGGGGUAAGAGCCCACCAAGGCUACGAUCCGUAGCUGGUUUGGGAGAACGACCAGCCACACUGGGACUGAGACACGGCCCAGACUCCUACGGGAGGCAGCAGUGGGGAAUUUUGGACAAUGGGGGCAACCCUGAUCCAGCCAUGCCGCGUGAGUGAAGAAGGCCUUCGGGUUGUAAAGCUCUUUCGGCCGGAACGAAAUCGCGUACGCGAAUAACGUGCGUGGAUGACGGUACUGGAAGAAGAAGCACCGGCUAACUACGU
rnacentral:rRNA from 1 species